GCUGGAUUGUGAAUUCAUGCAUAGAACCAGACCUGCUCUACACCUAAUGCCAAAAAAAGCCUGCAAAGUUCUCCUCUGCUACAAAGCAACACAAAAAGCCCUCCUAGUCCAUCACCUGUUGCUCAAGGGGAGAGAGGAGAGGCUUUACAAGGACUACCUCAAGAAGAGGACAUAGAAUGGAGGGAAGGCCUUCGAAAGAAUAAACAACCCUCAUGCUGCCGCUUUUGCAAGGAAUAAAUGUCCAAGUUUCUUAGUAUCCAGACACAAAUCUGUGGAGUCUUGACAGCCAAGAAGCACAGGAACCUGGACACCUUGUUGUGAGAGACUAGAGGAGAUUGCUGGCUCAACACUUUUCAGGGGCUUGUAUGUGGGGAAGGGGGCAGAUCAAGCCUUGCUCUGGUGAGGCGAUGCCCCACUCGGCACGCCCCACACCCCCAGGCCUGUAUCCCAGCCCAGCAGCGGCCACUGAUCCCUGGCACACCAGAGGCAAUGCUCCACACCUGUGUCUGGAGCCCCUAACCCAGCUCCUAAAUGGCCAGGUGAGUGGGAGCCCCAUGUGGGGGAAGGCCCCAGGAGAGCCAAACGCUAUUUACCUUGGGAUAUGUGGCCACCACAUGUCUUGAUCCUACCUCUUCUUGGAAUUUCUAUCAGCUGAACACCACUGGAACCAGGAGUGAUAGCUAUGUUGGUUCCUUUCUGUCAUUCUCUCUUUCUCUUUCUUCUCCCUUUUCCCUGCUCUCAGAUGUUUGAGUAAUUUAAAAUCUUAACAGGCUUAAUGAUCUAAAUCUAACUCAAUUAACACAUUUUGUUUGGUUGAUUGGGCUAAGUUAAUGCUUUGUAAAAUAUUCUCUGUUAUGUUUAAUUUUUUUACCUUUCAAGUUCUCUGAUUUUUGAAAGUUGACAGUGAAGGGUUUUUUGUUGUUCCAAUCUCUUGAGAACAUCUCAUCAGUAUUUUUCCUGCUUUUCUAUCUCAAGAGUACAGGAACAAGUUUAAGUCCUUUUACAGUGUCCCACAGAGCAACAUUUUUGGGGCCUUACAUUUUAAUUGGCACAGCAGGCAGGGUACUCUUGAGGUGACUUGAGCCUUUUAUACAGCAUUAAGUGCUCGUGCCAUAAUAAAGGAGAAAAAAAUUUUCAGUCAAAGCUGCUCUUUUCUGGCAGGAAAGUAAUGGAUUUGCACCCAGAAACUGAUCUGAACUGCUCUCCACUGACACACUUGCUAAAAGCUUAUAUAGAAAACUUGUCCAGCCCUAAAGAGAGAUGGGGACGGAGAGAAACUAGCACCAUCCACAGUUUCUUCUGGAGAAAACAUGAACUUUUUUAGAAGAAAAUUAAAAACUCCCAGUAAAGGACCAUGCCUGGUAUCCAUAUGCAUGGAGGAUUGACUCAGAGCUGUAUGGUGCCCAUCAGCUAGAAAAGGAGCUUGUCCUGGGUUGACUAUAUGAUGCUUUUAUCCCCAAUUGUCUUGUUCUGUUUAUACCGAAUAAUAAGUUUUACACCUUUAAGUCUCUCUUCCAGACAGUGAAGAGGGGAGGGAAGAAGCGCGCAGUUUGUUUUCAGACUGCUCUCACUCCUCCACAUUCCUGCUCCUGGACUGUGUUGUCUGCGGAUGGACAGACAGCCGGACAGAGCUCCUUUUUUCCCUUUUCCUUGCUUUUAGUUAGUUUUAGCUAGCUGAGGCAAAGAAGUUCUCCGGAUUGUGAUUUUUUUCCUUUUUUCUUGGACCUGUUCAAGCCUGCUCUGGACUGAACACCCAGAAGAGCACCGGCAGCUCCACCUGUGGCCCCUGGCCGGGCCUGGGCCGCGGCGUUUCCAGCACCAGAGACUGGUCAAAGACUGAGUGAGCCGAGCUGCAACCCAGGGAGGGGACUGUUCUGAGUUUGCUUUUCCUUGGAUUGUUUAAUAUUGUUUUAUUGUUUAAUAUUGUUUGGUUUCUAUUGCUUAAUAAACAGGUUUCUUUCCACUUUUCUCCAAGGAGAUAUCUUCUCCCGAACUGGUUGGAGGGGGGAGGGGCAAUUGAAUCUGCUUUUGUAGAGAAGCCCCUUUGGGGGUUAUCUCCCAAACUUGCCCUAAACCAGGACAGAGCUGCAUCAGCUGAAAAUUGCUGUGCCUGAAACAAUAGCCAGCCUCAGGCCAGAGCAGGAAUUGAAUGCCAGGAUGAAGCCAGCCCCCAAACCAUGAGAAACCAGUGAAACACGCUCCUCCAAAGCCAAAGAGCUUUAGAGUUGCAAUUUAACACUGCUGGGGAAGGUCUGGAAGCAGUGUUUUCCAGACUCCAGGAACAGCCAGGCCUUCCUGACUGCAAGGUCAGCCCCACAGCCCUUGGGAGGGCUUUAGUGCCUCAAAGUCCAACCCCGCCCCUAACCCUAAACUCUCCCCACCCCUACAAAAUACUGAGGCAGGAUGCCCCAAAAGUGAUGUCACCUUCCUCUGCUCCCGGGAGGAGAGGUUCGGCUCUGCAAAGCCAAUCUUCUUCCCUCCUUCUCAUCCCAAGCCCUUCCUGCUGAUAAAGAAGGAAUUGGCUUAUCAGGAUGCAGUGUCUGGCAGUGAUACCUCAUUCUGCAACAGAAGUGGUAGAAUUACAUGAGAAAAUUAGAAAUGAUCCCAAAGAAAAUGAAAUGGAGAAUGUUUUGCGAAUUGGAUUUGGGGAAAUGAAAUAGAACUUUUGGAGAAGGAAGCACAUGGUGAAAAUCCCUGGUCUUUUGCCCGGGGAACAACCUGUGAUGUGACAAGUUUGGACCCCUUGCAGGGGAGAGAACCCCAUGCAAUGCAUGAGAAACAGUUGAUGCCCGUUGACCUUCCUCUGUGUUAUUGUAAGUUACUUCAACAUUUAAGGAUCAAAACUGAGAAAACAAAAUCUUGGCACCACCUCCAAAAAGUUAUGGUUGUUGAUAGAAGGUGGUGGAUUGAAGUAUCUCCAGAGGCUCUCUGGAAAGAAAAUGGGGAUUAAAUGGGGACUCAGUUUCCCUGGAUUCUUAAUGAAGCUUUGCAAACUGCUCCUGCCCUGCCUCCUUCUGGCAGCCCUGGCUAUUGAGCCUUGUCUGCCACCAGAGGCUGGAGGCUGAAAUGCUGCUGCUAGAGCAUAACCCUUAGGAGAAAAUGCUUUUAUCAUCAAAAAGUUUGAUGAUAGUGCAAGUUUGUUGUUUUGGUCUCAAUAACAAGCCUGAAUGUUCAAGAACAUCCUCACUAGUCAGGAGACUGGGUGUACAUCCAGACCUGGAAUGGAGAGCCACUUAACCAGAAGUGGAAAGGACUUUUGAUCCCAUGGCUGUGAGAUUUACAGCUGGACACUCCUAAAUUAUGUGAUUAAAGUUAGCUCUGGACACAUGGAAUUCUAUUGGACAGUCCAGUAAAUGUAACUCUGCUGCAAAUAAAGCUGCAAUGGAACAUUUCUAAAGUGAAAAACAUUAAAUGUUUUCUCUUUCUGCCCAUUUCCAGAGCAGUGUCCCUGAUAUGGCAGCAAGGCUGUUUGUUCCUGAAUUAGUCAACCAUCCUGGCAGGACCAUGUACCUAAUGACUACAAUAGCAAGUAUGGCCUUGAGUGCCAGAGGGGUAAGAGACCAAGAAAGAAAAGAGAGCCAUGUCUGUAGGAGUGUGCACCCUAACGGCAGAGUGGCAAAACUAGCCUUUGUCCCCCAGAAAAGGAAAGAAGGCCAGAAGUUUCUCUCAAGGAUUAGGUGAAAAGCCACCUCAUGGGACCUCAGGGACUUCACCAAAUACUUGAGGACAUCUAAUUGGAUAGAAGCCAAAAAGUGCCGCUUGAUCCAUCAGGGAGAAAAAGAAGAGAAGAAAAGAGCUAAGUGCUUUUGUGAGGUGUUUUUACCAGGAGCGGACUGCUGCACCUGGCUCGAGUUUUCCUCUUUGUUAUUAUGCCUUUUAUUCAACCUUUUUGUUUCUAACACUGCAGCAGAAGUCAUCCUGCUAAUUUUAUGCCUCCAGAGUAAUAGAUUAGCUGUCCUUGGGUGUAUUAUAUUUCUUUUGAGGGCUUAUGAGACCUGGCUAAGAAAAAGAAACAUAAUAGAGCAGAGCUGGGCAGCAGCUGGGGGUACUACAGUGCACUCACAGCCACCUGCCAAUGCAGCUAGCCAAAACUAAAACAAGCAAACAGAAGCAAAACCAAACAGACCAACCCUCAAAUAAUUUUUAAAAACUAAAAAAAAAAAAAACAAAAAAAAAAAAAAAACACCAACAAAAAAACCAAACACUACAGGUGCUUGGCCUAAUGGCCUGGUUACUAAUAACCUAAGAAAACAACUAUUAAAGGUGACACCUGGGACACCAGCUGGCCAGAGCCAAUUCCCAGCUAUCCCAUAACUUGCCUUUCUGUGCAAGCACAGAGGUUUCAGUUGCCCACCUUUCAGAGAGAGGAGCCUGCCAGACCAGGUUGAACAUUCAGCAAUGUCUACUUGAAUGAUCUAAAGCUUCCAGUCCAGAAGCCCAAGCUUAUGAAGUGUGAUUCUUCCUUUAAUUUCCUAGAUUCAAAACUGAUUCUUCAGAUCUAUGCAUGAGACAGUUCUCCAGAUCUACUGAGGACAUGGAAUGGUUUGGAAAGCAAACUAAGGAACAAGGCACAAACCCAAAUUUUAUAGGACCAGGGAGAAAAUGCUAAGAGCAAAAAGGGCAAUUGUGUUUUUAUUCCAUCCUUAUUAGCUAUAACUUGCAAUUGCUGUGGGGUAAUUAAGAGUUUAUUCAGGUUGACAACUUGAGUCAAAAGUUUAUUUCAUUCCUGAAGCUGCAGACUUGAAAUGCUUCAAGUUCUUCCAUCCCAGGGGAAUCCUGUAUGCAAAAUACUUGAAAACACAUUUUUUAUCAGAAAGAAAAAGAGAUUUAAGCGUUGUUGCAAGUGUUUUAUAUAUUCAUAGAAAUCUCAAACUACUAGGUUAAUUCCUGAAACUAUUUUUAUCUUUUGCUCUUGUGCUUAUUGUUGUCUUAUUUGAUAUUCUCUUACUGCUUGUAACCCACACUAAUCCUAUCUCACUGCAUGCAAUAAUAAAGCAAAGAAUUACCUAAGGGAUGAAAAGAAGGCAUUCCUCACUAUCUUGCAUAAGGAUGAAAACCGAACAUUUCAAAGACUUCAACAACUCAUUUCUCUGAAUAGGAGCAAAGAAAUAAAAGGCAGCAAGCUUUAACCACUCCACAAAUUCCAGCUCAAGUAAGAAGCUCACAAAGGGCACUAAGGCAGGGAGACAUGUGGACACAUGCACACCAUCACCUCAUCUGACAAAAAUGAACCUGUUUCACAGCACCAGGCAGUUCAUAGAGCCAAACUCCUUCUCCAGCCCCAUGGGAAAGCAGUGUCAAGGCACAGGAACUGGGAAGUGUCCCAGGAUGCAGAGAUAAUGCUGCCAGCAUUUGAGCCUGCAGCACUGGCUCAGACACACUGAAGUUCAGCUGUUGCUGUGCAGCAGUUUCUUCACACUGCUAAGUUUCAUGGGGCUGGCUGUAUUUUUCACAGCAGCCACUUCAGUACUGGACUGGUGUAGUGAAAAGUUCUGGAGUUCUGUUUCCUCUCUUGUAAAUUCCUAUUUCUCUUCUUCUUUAGGACACCCACAACUUGAGACACCUCAAGAGGCAGCAUUGAAUUGCAAGCAGUUCCCAAAGCGAGCUUGUAAAAUAUGCUCCGUGUUUAGAUUAUGUAAUAUGGGGAUUUCAAAACUCUGUAUUUCCAAAAACCGUUAUUUUUCCAGUUAAAAAUGCCUGUCAAUUAAAAAGCUUAAACUUGGCCAAUUUUAACUGCAGAGGAGAAUACUCUCUGUCCCAGACCACCACCCAAACACACCUUUGGUUGGAUACAGCUCUUGGACCUUUUGGGUAGCUUGACUACAGAAUUCAAACAUUCUAGAACAGGGGUACAAAUACAAAUCCUUAUGUAAACGUCUGGAAGCAACUAGGAAGUUGUUGGGAUGUUCUCAUUCUGUAGGAAGAAUUAACACAGCAGUAAUAGAAAUCACCUUUCUCCAGAAGCAGCUCUCACAGCUAGCACACUUCAGACUGCAGCACAAGCAGUUCCUAGGUGUGGAAUCUAGUUGUGACAUGCCACCAAUAGCAUGUGGAACUGCUGCAGGAAAACACCACAGACACGUUUUCUUCUUUUUUUCUUUCAGUUCCAAAGGGAGUCAUAAAACCUGGCUGGCUGCCUGGGUAACUAUGUUAACACUAAAAACACUGACCAGGAGAAAUGAUUGCAAUCACACCACUAGAAUCUUUCCCGGAGGAGGGCAAUCCUACAGAUCAGUGCAUGGUCAAAUUGGCCCAGAAUUCUCAUAAUGUCCAUCUACUCUGGAUACCCUUACUUGGCAUUUUUGUUUCUCAGCCCUCACAGAACUGAGAGCUGAGAAAAAGAGAAAAAAACAAGAACAGUCCUUGGGUAAGGGCAAUACUGGACUGUCAGGAACUAAAAAUAGUUGAUAGCAUCUGUAUCAGGCAUUGUUUUUUUACUCUCUACCAGCAUCCAUUUCAGGUAUCCUGAUAGCAUGAUUUAGGAUUUUGCAGCUAAAUACAAUGGGCUGCAAUUUGAGACGCCUACAAAAAAUAAAACCUUAUCAGACUGGUUUUUCACCUAGGUGACAGGUGCAAAUUAGAAAAUGAAAG